rnacentral:tRNA from 1 species
UGACGGGUCGUCUAAUGGUAGGACAGCGGACUUUGACUCCGUGAAUGGUGGUUCGAUCCCAUCCCCGUCAGCCA